rnacentral:rRNA from 1 species
GUAGAUAUUGGGAGGAACACCAGUUGCGUAGGCGGCUUACUGGCUCAUAACUGACGCUGAGGCGCGAAAGCGUGGGGAGCGAACAGGAUUAGAUACCCUGGUAGUCCACGCCGUAAACGAUGUGCACUCGCUGUUGGAUAGUAUUCUAUUCAGUGGCUGAGCAAACGCAUUAAGUGCACCGCCUGGGGAGUACGGCCGCAAGGUUAAAACUCAAAGGAAUUGACGGGGACCCGCACAAGUGGUGGAGCAUGUUGCUUAAUUCGAUAAUACGCGAGAAACCUCACCCGCUCUUGACAUGUAAGUUUUACUUCCUGGAAACAGGUUGUUUCAGUUCGGCUGGGCUUACACAGGUGUUGCAUGGCUGUCGUCAGCUCGUGUCGUGAGAUGUUCGGUUAAGUCCGGCAACGAGCGCAACCCCUUUUACCAGUUGCCAGCAUUUAGUUGGGGACUCUGGUGAUACUGCCGGUGAUAAGCCGGAGGAAGGUAGGGACGACGUCAAGUCAUCAUGGCCCUUACGAGCGGGGCUGCAGACGUGCUACAAUGGUGGUGACAGUGGGCAGCGACACAGCGAUGUGGAGCGAAUCCCAAAAAGCCAUCUCAGUUCGGAUUGAAGGCUGCAACUCGCCUUCAUGAAGUCGGAAUCACUAGUAAUCGUGGAUCAGAACGCCACGGUGAAUACGUUCCCGGGUCUUGCACUCACCGCCCGUC